rnacentral:rRNA from 1 species
CCCGUCCGCUCCCCUGUACACAAGCUCGAUACCGCCGGAUCAGUAGUUGGGUCGGUGACGACCAGCGAAUCCCCGGUGUUGUAUGUU